GGAGGCGUGCCUGAGUGGCCGAAAGGAGCGCACUGCUAAUGCGUUAACCGCCAAAAGCGGUUCGAAGGUUCGAAUCCUUCCGCCUCCG
rnacentral:tRNA from 1 species